UUCAGAACGCAGCAUGGCGUCUCCGAGGAAGAAGCGCUCUAAAGUAUGGCUAUAUUUCACGCGUAUAAACAACAAAAUUGCCACUUGCAACAAUUGCAAAAUGUCAAUUUCAGCAAAGGGGGGAACUACCUCCAAUAUGCUUAAACAUUUGGCUACACAGCAUGCAAUUCACAUCCAGGAAUGUCGCGUGUUUGACACACUCCGAGUCCUAACAAGCGAUGCAAGGUAAUCAAUCAGCAGCGGAGCUAUCGGGACGCCAUCUAAGGCCGAAGACACUUAACCUUGGUGCUCAGAAGCUGUACAACUGCAAUACAGUUUCCAACUGGGCAGCAAGGAUUCGUUCUGUUAUCGUAUGGAUGAGGAGAUCCCACAUGGCUGAAGUCGUCCUAAAGGAAAAGCAGCAACUUCUCAAGCUGCCCCAGCACAUGCUCCUUCUAGAUGAGAGGACAAGAUGGAACUCACUGUAUUUGAUGAUGGAGAGAUUUUGUUAACAGUUCCCUGCCAGCCAAGCUGCAGCCAUAGACCAGCGGCUUAGAAAGCCCAUGGAGAAGGAGAAGUAAAAAAUACUGGCCAGAAUCGGCAAUGAGGACCUGAGGAAAGCAGAGGAAUUUGUGCAGCUGAUGAGGAUGCAUUACACAUCCACACUCGCUGUCUCCAGCGAAAAAGUUCCAACCUGUGGCCAGAUAUUGCCCAUUCUUCAGAAACUGCGAAAACAUUACACUGUGCAGACAGAUGACUCAGCAUUUGUCAGUAGAACAUCUGGAAUGAUCUUUCCAAACGUUACCAGGAUGGUGAUAUCCAGGCAUUCCUGGAGGAAGCCACUGUGUUGGAUCCCAGAUUUAAAUCUAAAAUGGACAUGGAUGACAUCUGGGACAGGGUCAGGGCAUCAGCAGUGGCAGCAAACACAGAGGCAGUGGAGAAGCUGUCAGAGUCAAGAGAGACACAGGGGCAGGCAGAAGAAGAGGAUGAAGAAGAAGAAGAAGAAGAGGAGGACUACCCACCUGUAAAGCAGAAAAAGAUGACGACCCUAGAGGAACUUUUUGAAGAAGGACGGCAAGCUGCUUUCUACACAGCAGCUGCCCCCCGUUUCCACAGCCCAGAGAGUGGAUCAAGAAAUCCAGCUUUAUAGAAGCCUUCCUCCCAUUCCAACCAAAGACAGUGCCAGUCUCUGGUGGUGGAAAAAGAGUGACACAUUGCCAGUGUUGUCAGCUCUUGCUGAAAAGUAUCUCUGUGUCCAAGCGUCCUCCACCCCUUCUGAAAGGGUGUUCUCCACUGCUGGAGACAUCCUAAGUCCAGAAAGAUCUCGUAUCCUUCCUGAGAGGGCAAACAUGAUCAUUUUUCUGCACAAAAAUUGUUAAUUUGCCAAAUUUGUUGUUAGUUGUGUUCUUAUCUUUACAGAAGACUUAUUUGUUUUGUUUAUAUCAGUUGAAUUUUGUUGGAGUGCUGGAGACACCCUAAGUCCAGAAAGAUCUUGUUUCCUUCCUGAGAGGGCAAACAUGAUCAUUUUUCUGCACAAAAAUUGUUAAUUUGCCAAAUUUGUUGUUAGUUGUGUUCUUAUCUUUACAGAAAACGUAUUUGUUUUGUUUAUAUCAGUUGAAUUUUGUUACUUGAAUGCAAAUGAGCACUGUUAGAGAUUUAAUACAAACAAACGCAUUUGUACUUAUUUCCUCACCCAAUGAGAAUCGAUAAGAGAAUCGAUAAGGAAUCGGAUCGUUAAGCGGAAUCGGAAUCAUGAAAUUCUUAUAAAUUCCCAUCCCUAUACACACAUGCCCCAGACUGACAGCAAGUGUUCUGACUUUACUUGAGAGUGAAUAAGGAAGAUAGCGAUGGAGGAGAGGAGACAUCAUAUUAUCAAACCAAUGCUGAUUUGCAUUAUCAGAAGUCCUUUUUCCUCCCUGCUGUGUGUCCAACAGGCAUACGUUUUUCCAACCAAGGUCAAUCCACACAAUACUGUUUCUGACAAAUCCUGUGAAAGAUUGGGUGUUUAAAGGGAGGAAGGGUGGAAAUAAUGGUUUGGCUUUUUAUUUUUAAGGUUGAACACUGAAAUGGUUUUGGCCAUUGUGCAGGAUAUCUCCUUCACAGUAGCUUGGUCUUGACACAAAUAACCUAGCCCUGUGACUAAUGGAAGGUUUUAUAAUAAUAAUAAUACAUUUUAUUUAUAACGCACUUUAUAUCAAUUCAAUGAUCUCAAAGUGCUACAAUGCACAUUAAAAGA